GAUGAACGCUGGCGGCGUGCCUAAUACAUGCAAGUCGAGCGAACAGACGAGGAGCUUGCUCCUCUGACGUUAGCGGCGGACGGGUGAGUAACACGUGGAUAACCUACCUAUAAGACUGGGAUAACUUCGGGAAACCGGAGCUAAUACCGGAUAAUAUAUUGAACCGCAUGGUUCAAUAGUGAAAGACGGUUUUGCUGUCACUUAUAGAUGGAUCCGCGCCGCAUUAGCUAGUUGGUAAGGUAACGGCUUACCAAGGCGACGAUGCGUAGCCGACCUGAGAGUGUGAUCGCCCACACUGGAACUGAGACACGGUCCAGACUCCUACGGGAGGCAGCAGUAGGGAAUCUUCCGCAAUGGGCGAAAGCCUGACGGAGCAACGCCGCGUGAGUGAUGAAGGUCUUCUGAUCGUAAAACUCUGUUAUUAGGGGAGAACAAAUGUGUAAGUAACUAUGCACGUCUUGACGGUACCUAAUCAGAAAGCCACGGCUAACUACGUG
rnacentral:rRNA from 1 species